UACGGGGGGGGCAAGCGUUGUUCGGAAUUACUGGGCGUAAAGGGCUCGUAGGCGGCCAACUAAGUCGGACGUGAAAUCCCUCGGCUUAACCGGGGAACUGCGUCCGAUACUGGAUGGCUUGAGUUCGGGAGAGGUGAGUGGAACUGCGAGUGCAGAGGUGAAAUUCGUAGAUAUUCGCAAGAACACCAGUGGCGAAGGCGGCUCACUGGCCCGAUACUGACGCUGAGGCACGAAAGCGUGGGGAGCAAACAGG
rnacentral:rRNA from 1 species